AGUUAGUCGGGCAAUCGCUGCAUGGUCUUUGAUCUGUAGAGGAAAGUCCGGGCUCCAAAGAGCGGGGUGCCGGUUAACAGCCGGACGUUGUGAAGCGAUGGACAGUGCAACAGAAAGUGUACCGCCUCGGGCCUUUGGUUUGGGGUAAGGGUGAAAAGGUGAGGUAAGAGCUCACCGCAACCUUGGUAACAAGGUUGGCAGUGUAAACCCCACCCGGAGCAAGACCAAAUAGGAGGGCUUUGGCGUGGCUCGCGUCGUCCUCGGGUAGGUUGCUAGAAUCAAAGGGUAACUUUUGAUCCAGAUGAAUGAUUGCCUCUCGACGUUUCGUCGAAAGACAGAACCCGGCUUACAGACUAACUU
rnacentral:RNase_P_RNA from 1 species